UAAAAACAAAGUCUAGUGUUUUAUCUCUCAGCCGCAUGUUUCAACUUGCCGUUUGCUUCUCCUCGCUGUCAAAGUCAUCGGAACCGGCAAAAUUCAAAGAUGAAAACAUAAAAAGAAGGUUCGUUCAUUUGUAAAGUUGAGUUUCUCAUGUCCAGAUCUGAUUCAUUUGCCCAGUUCUGAUUCAUUUCUUGUUGUUAAUUUCUUGUUGCCCACAUUCACCACUACUCUUACACUCGACGGAGCCAUCAAACAUCAAAACUCAAUAUGCAGGGUGAGUUGACUGAGCACUAUUCUCUUUUUCUAUGUAUCUCAUCUUGUCCUUUGUAUUUUUGUUUGAUUUUUUUUCACUGGCCAGAUCUGAUUCAUUUAUCCUUAUGAAGAAAGUAAAUAUGAAGUGGAGGAAGAGCUUCAAUCAGAAGCAAAUUAAAAGGAAUAGAAGUGGAGGAAGAGUGUUAAUUUAAGGAAGAUCAUGAUCACUGGUGGUCUUUGUUCUAUCUAGUUUAGGUGUUUUGUAAUUUUAAUUUUGGUUUUGUAACAUAUUGAUUGGAACAUUUGUUUUUUUCUUUGGGUUAGGUUCUUAAUUUUUUUUUUUUGGAAUUGUAAAGGAAAAGAAAUUGUAUAUUCUAUUUAGUUAAUUAAUGAAAAACUUUGUGAAAUAAUAAUAAUUUUAUGAAAUAUUCGGUUUAAUAAUUACUAAUUAUUUAAUAAUUUAAAAUUUAAAUUUAACAAAAUUAUUGUGAUUAAUG
rnacentral:lncRNA from 1 species